rnacentral:pre_miRNA from 1 species
ACCGAGUUUCAGUUCAUGUAAACAUCCUACACUCAGCUGUGGUGCGUGGAUUGGCUGGGAGGUGGAUGUUUACUUCAGCUGGCUUGGA